CCGGCGCACGGGUGAGUAACACGUAUCCAACCUGCCGUCUACUCUUGGCCAGCCUUCUGAAAGGAAGAUUAAUCCAGGAUGGGAUCAUGAGUUCACAUGUCCGCAUGAUUAAAGGUAUUUUCCGGUAGACGAUGGGGAUGCGUUCCAUUAGAUAGUAGCCGGGGUAACGGCCCACCUAGUCAACGAUGGAUAGGGGUUCUGAGAGGAAGGUCCCCCACAUUGGAACUGAGACACGGUCCAA
rnacentral:rRNA from 1 species